CGUAGGGACCGAGCGUCGUCCGGAUUCAUUGGGCGUAAAGAGCUCGUAGGCGGCUGCUCAAGUCGAAUGUGAAAACUCGAGGCUCAACCUCGAGCCUGCAUUCGAUACUGGGCGGCUAGAGUCUGGUAGGGGGAUCUGGAAUUCCUGGUGUAGCGGUGGAAUGCGCAGAUAUCAGGAGGAACACCGGUGGCGAAGGCGGGAUCCUGGGCCAGUACUGACGCUGAGGAGCGAAAGCGUGGGGAGCAAACAGGAUUAGAUACCCUGGUAGUCCACGCCGUAAACGAUGGGCGCUAGGUGUGGGAGGUCAUCGACUCCUUCCGUGCCGCAGCUAACGCAUUAAGCGCCCCGCCUGGGGAGUACGGCCGCAAGGCUA
rnacentral:rRNA from 1 species